AGAGUUUGAUUCUGGCUCAGGAUGAACGCUGGCGGCAUGCCUAAUACAUGCAAGUCGAACGAACUACCUCUAUGACCUUGAAAGUGCUUGCACUGGAUUGUGAUUAGAAUAUGUAGUUAGUGGCGGACGGGUGAGUAACACGUGGGUUACCUGCCACACAGAAUGGAAUAACUAUUGGAAACGAUAGCUAAUACCGUAUAUGACCUUCGGGUUGAAAGGGGCGUUUGCCUCGCUGUGUGAUGGGCCUGCGGCGCAUUAGCUAGUUGGUAAGGUAAAGGCUUACCAAGGCGACGAUGCGUAGCCGGACUGAGAGGUCGAUCGGCCACAUUGGGACUGAGACACGGCCCAAACUUCUACGGGAGGCAGCAGUAGGGAAUUUUCCGCAAUGGACGAAAGUCUGACGGAGCAAUGCCGCGUGAGUGAUGAAGGUUUUCGAAUCGUAAAGCUCUGUUGUAAGGGAAGAACAGCACUAGUAGGAAAUGACUAGUGUGUGACGGUACCUUACCAGAAAGCCACGGCUAACUACGUGCCAGCAGCCGCGGUAAU
rnacentral:rRNA from 1 species